rnacentral:rRNA from 1 species
UACGAAGGGGGCUAGCGUUGUUCGGAAUUACUGGGCGUAAAGCGCGCGCAGGCGGUCCUUUAAGUCAGGGGUGAAAGCCCAGAGCUCAACUCUGGAACUGCCUUUGAAACUAGAGGACUUGGGUACGGGAGAGGUGAGUGGAAUUCCGAGCGUAGAGGUGAAAUUCGUAGAUAUUCGGAAGAACACCAGUGGCGAAGGCGGCUCACUGGCCCGUUACCGACGCUCAGGCGCGACAGCGUGGGGAGCAAACAGG